AACCUGUGGGAGAACCCGGCGAGCUAAGCCAAACGGAGGGCGGGAGAGAGGAAGCGGCAGCUGGCGCCUCUCGGCAACUCUAACCCUCUGAUAGAGAUCGCCAAGAUUGGUAUCCAUAGAGCUUGCUGUGGUUUGAAUGUAUCCCCCAAAGUUCAUGUGUUGGAAACUAUUCUUAAUGCAAAAGUGUUAAGAGAUCCCGGAGAGCUUGUCCACUGCAACAGUGCAACACGCUAAGGGCUGUGUGGCGGCACAGGGGCUCUGAGCUCCUGACCUGAGUCAUGGGGACCUGAAGGCUGACACCCAGCCCUAUACCUACAAGCUGGGUGAGACCCCUGGCAGUUGCCUACACCCCUGCUGAGACCCAGUACCUCCCUGUAAAAUGGGGGAAAUAAUGCCUGCCUCACAGGGUUUCGAUGAAGGGUGAGUGAAAUAAGGAAACAUUUGGAAACCCCUUGGAGGAGAUCUGCCACAUGGCCUCCAGUGAACUGUAGACUCCUGCAUAGCCUUCCAAAGUUCUUCAUUUGGUGAAUAUUAUGAGAAAUGACACGUAUGACUUUCUCCCAAAUACGUGGCUUAAACCCAAAGUACAGUGAAAUCAGAACUGACCACACAGAGUAAUUGGGGCAAGGGAGUUAUUUGUGACACAAAGCCCUCAUCACUUUAUAAAAGUACUUGCUACUGAUUACAUUGAAAACCAGUCUUCCUGAGUAAAACAUGUUUUUUGUUUUGUAUCGUUUUUGUUUUUGUUUUUUUGAGACAGAGUCUCACUCUUUGACCCAGGCUGGAGUGCAGUGGUGCGAACUUGGCUCUCCGCAACCUCUGCCUUCUGGGUUCAAGCGAUUCUCUUGCCUCAGCCUCCUGAGUAGCUGGGAUUACAGGUGCCCGUCACCACGCCAGGCUAAUUUUUUUGUAUUUUUAGUAGAGGCGAGGUUUUGCCAUGUUGGCCAGGUUGAUCUUGAACUCCUGACCUCAGAUGAUCCACAUGCCUGGGCCUCCCAAAGUGCUGGGGUUAGAGGCAUUAAGGGAGGAGACCACCCCUCAUAUUGUCUUAUGCCCAAUUUCUGCCUCCAAAGAAAGAAAAAGUAAAAACUGAAAGGCAGAAAUGAAAUCCACAAGCAGACAGCCCGGUGCCACACCCUGGGCAGAUCGACCCCUGACCUAAUCGGUUAUGUUAUCGAUUACAGACAUUGGAUAGAAAAGCACUGUGAAAAUCCCUAUCCUGUUUUGUUCAGAUCGAAUUACCGGUGCAUGCAGCCCCCAGACACGUACCCUCUGCUUGCUCAAUCGAUCACGACCCUCUCACACGCACCCCCUUAGAGUUGUGAGCCCUUAAAAGGGACAGGAAUUGCUCACUCGGGGAGCUUGGCUCUUGAGACAGGAGUCUUGCCAAUGCCCCCAGCCGAAUAAACCCCUUCCUUCUUUAA